rnacentral:rRNA from 1 species
UUGUGGUUAAAAAGCUCGUAGUUGGAUCUCGGCGGACUGAGGGCGGUUUGCUUGCUAGUAUUACUGCCCUAUAGUCCGUAGUUUUGCCAGAGGUUUCGGGGUGCUCUUAAUCGAGUGUCCCGGGAUGCUGGCAGGUUUACUUUGAAAAAAUUAGAGUGCUCAAAGCAGGCUAUUACGCCUGAAUAUUCGUGCAUGGAAUAAUAGAAUAGGAAGUCGUUUCUAUUUUGUUGGUUUUCGGAAAUCGACUUAAUGAUUAAUAGGGACAGUCGGGGGCAUUUGUAUUCAAACGACAGAGGUGAAAUUCUUGGACCGUUUGAAGACAAACUACUGCGAAAGCAUUUGCCAAGAAUGUUUUCAUUAAUCAAGAACGAAAGUUAAAGGUUCGAAGGCGAUUAGAUACCGCCCUAGUUUUAACCAUAAACGAUGCCAGCUAGCGAUCUGCGGACGUUUUCUUUGUAGACUCCGCAGGAAGCUUCCGGGAAACCAAAGCAUUUGGGUUCCAGGGGAAGUAUGGUUGCAAAGCUGAAACUUAAAGGAAUUGACGGAAGGGCACCACCAGGAGUGGAGCCUGUGGCUUAAUUUGACUCAACACGGGAAAUCUCACCAGGCCCGGACACUGGAAGGAUUGACAGAUUGAU